rnacentral:rRNA from 1 species
CCUACGGGAGGCAGCAGUGGGGAAUAUUGCACAAUGGGGGAAACCCUGAUGCAGCGACGCCGCGUGAGUGAGGAAGUAUUUCGGUAUGUAAAGCUCUAUCAGCAGGGAAGAAAAUGACGGUACCUGACUAAGAAGCCCCGGCUAACUACGUGCCAGCAGCCGCGGUAAUACGUAGGUGGCGAGCGUUAUCCGGAAUGAUUGGGCGUAAAGGGUGCGUAGGCGGCCUGCUAAGUCUGGAGUGAAAGGUACCGGCUCAACCGGUACAGGCUCUGGAAACUGGCGGGCUAGAGAGCAGGAGAGGGCGG